UACGCUCUACAACCCUUUGUGAACAUACCUAUAACUGUUGCUUCGGCGGGCAGGGUCUCCGUGACCCUCCCGGCCUCCCGCCCCCGGGCGGGUCGGCGCCCGCCGGAGGAUAACCAAACUCUGAUUUAACGACGUUUCUUCUGAGUGGUACAAGCAAAUAAUCAAAACUUUUAACAACGGAUCUCUUGGUUCUGGCAUCGAUGAAGAACGCAGCGAAAUGCGAUAAGUAAUGUGAAUUGCAGAAUUCAGUGAAUCAUCGAAUCUUUGAACGCACAUUGCGCCCGCCAGCAUUCUGGCGGGCAUGCCUGUUCGAGCGUCAUUUCAACCCUCAAGCUCUGCUUGGUGUUGGGGCCCUACAGCUGAUGUAGGCCCUCAAAGGUAGUGGCGGACCCUCCCGGAGCCUCCUUUGCGUAGUAACUUUACGUCUCGCACUGGGAUCCGGAGGGACUCUUGCCGUAAAACCCCCAAUUUUCCAAAGGUUGACCUCG
rnacentral:rRNA from 2 species